rnacentral:rRNA from 1 species
ACUCAAAUGAAUAGACGGGGGCCCGCACAAGCAGCGGAGCAUGUGGUUUAAUUCGAAGCAACGCGAAGAACCUUACCUAGACUUGACAUCUCCUGAAUUACUCGUAAUGGAGGAAGCCCUUCGGGGCAGGAAGACAGGUGGUGCAUGGUUGUCGUCAGCUCGUGUCGUGAGAUGUUGGGUUAAGUCCCGCAACGAGCGCAACCCUUAUCAUUAGUUGCUACCAUUAAGUUGAGCACUCUAGUGAGACUGCCCGGGUUAACCGGGAGGAAGGUGGGGAUGACGUCAAAUCAUCAUGCCCCUUAUGUCUAGGGCUACACACGUGCUACAAUGGGUGGUACAGAGAGACGCAAAGCCGCGAGGUGGAGCAAAACUCUAAAACCACUCCCAGUUCGGAUUGAAGGCUGAAACUCGCCUUCAUGAAGCCGGAGUUGCUAGUAAUCGCGAAUCAGCAUGUCGCGGUGAAUACGUUCCCGGGCCUUGUACACACCGCCCGU